rnacentral:rRNA from 1 species
UACGAAGGGGGCUAGCGUUGCUCGGAAUCACUGGGCGUAAAGCGCACGUAGGCGGUCUCUUAAGUCAGGGGUGAAAUCCUGGAGCUCAACUCCAGAACUGCCUUUGAUACUGGGAGUCUUGAGUUCGGGAGAGGUGAGUGGAACUGCGAGUGUAGAGGUGAAAUUCGUAGAUAUUGGGAAGAACACCGGUGGCGAAGGCGGCGACCUGGUCCGAUACUGACGCUGAGGCGCGAAAGCGUGGGGAGCAAACAGG